AUCUUUGCGCAGUGGCAGUAUCAUAGCCAAUGAGGUUUAUCUGAGGUGCGAUUAUUGCUAAUUAAAAACUUUUCCCAAUACCCCGCCAUGAUGAUUUGAAAUAUAGUUGGCAUUGGCAAUUUUUGAUAGUCUCUAUGGAAA
ensembl:snRNA U4 U4 spliceosomal RNA